AUCCUGAAGAGGCAAGGAUCUCCAUGGCCAGCAUUAAUGGUUUCGCCAUGCAUGAGAAGGUCUCCUGUGCCAGAGAGCUCGUGAAUGAGCAGAAUCCUGAAAAGUACAACGCGAGCAGUUUUAAUGACUUCCUCGACUAUCUCACAAGCAAUCUGGAGAACAAGCACCGGAACUUUCUUGAGAGCCUUAGGAUGCAAGGGGCGUAGUAGGGGUAUAAUCUCCACUCGAAGCACAAAACAAUACCUACGACAAUUUGUCUCUAUGCCUACAACCGUUCAUCUCUCUAUAUUACUUUUGAUCUGAAAGUACUGAAGUUGUUGUGUGUUGUCAUGCUGUUUUGGACAAAUUAUCUGUAAUAUUACUUUCGAUCUGAAAGUACUGAAGUCGUUUUGUGUUGUCAUGCUGAUUUGGACAAAUUAUUAGUAAUAUUAUUACUUUUGAUAUGAAGGCACUGAAGUUGUUGUGUGUUGUCAUGCUGUUUUCCCCUUUCACCCCACCACAUUAUUAUGAGUUUGUAUUAAGUAAGGAGAAAUCCAUGAUGUAAACUUUAUCUACCUGAGUAGUAGUAAGGUACUGUAUGCUGUGAGUUAACCAUUUGACUUCAAAUUUCCACUUGUAAUGCUGCGACACUUAAUCAGCAAGGUCGGGCAUAUAAUGCGCAAUUUAGAAUCAGUAAGAACAAGAUUGGAUCGCGGGGGUUCCUCCGUGGAUGGGUGGGUCUGGAAACAAAAUCGAAAUGGAGGACGGGGGUGGGGAAGAAACUAGUACCAAACAGAAACCCCGGGUAGGGGCUGGGCGGAGAGGCGCGGCUCCGGUCCCGCGGGCCGCCGGCAACGAGGAGGCGGCGGCCUAGCAGCCGGGCCACGCACCACGCUGCGGUAGUAGGUCCCGUCCCGAAGCGGGGCACGAGCGCCCCGGUGGUGGUGGUCGGUUGCCCUCCGGCCCCAUCUCCGGGGAUCUCGCCUUGCGCGCCGUGAGCCUGCCUUCGGCGGUUGCUGCGGCGGGCGGCGGGC
rnacentral:lncRNA from 1 species